rnacentral:lncRNA from 1 species
GACGAGCUAGACAAUGGCAAACUACCAUAGUUUGAAAGGUCUGAAGUCAUUCGGCUGCUGUAAUUUUCUAACUGCUGCCGUAUAGCUUGUGCUCGCAACCUACAAAUUGACCAAUGAUUCUUUCCACCGCACAUUCUACUGUUCAGCCACGAUACAUGAAGGGGUUGUUCUUUAAGCAUUGUAAACUUUGUGUUAAAAAAAAGCAUUGUAAACUUAGCAAUUUGGCCUAGUAAUUGUGCCCCUUUUACCUUUGUUGUUUGCUGACAGAUAUGAUAACGAUCGGUACAGAAAAGAAAAUAAUAAUUUUCAAUGGGAUUCUUUUCUUGGCAUAUGAAACCAUUUUGGUUCGCACGUUGGCAUGGUCCAUCUGUUGCCCUCCUCUUUCUGGUUUGAGAUUGCCUACACUGCAAGUUCUGGAGGAAUCCCAAAUUCAGAAACUUUCUGCAGCUCUCGGGCAUAUGUAUUGCUAGCCGCAGCUCGGCGACGUCCGGCGGGCCUUCUCCGUGUUCGACAGGAACGAGGACGGCAGGAUCAGCGCGGAGGAGGUCAUGACGGAUUGACGGUCCUGCGCAAGCUCGGGCAGAGCUGCAUCCUGGAUAAGUGCCGGAAGAUGGUGAGGGGGAUCGACAGGGAUGGCGAUGGCUUCGUCAACAUGGACGAUUUUAUGGCCAUGAUGACGCGCCCGCGCAGGAAGCCGUGAGCACCCGGCCCAGCCAGCUUCCGUGCACGUCCUGAUGUAAAAUAUGCCGUGCAAAUCAUAUAUCCUGAAUAAGAUGAUCAGGUUUCAAACCAGCGCUCAUUAUUUAGCUUGAUCUUCUCUUAUUCUGUUUAUCUUUCUGCAGCUUGCUGAUGACACGCUAUUAGGAAUUUAGAUAGGACUGGUGAAAGAAAUAUUUGCUGUUAACAAAUGGACCGUCGUCUGUCACUGCUCUUUGCAAUUGCUAGUUUUCUCUACACAGUAGAAUUCCCGCUGCAACAUGUUACGAACACAGAUAACAGCAGGGAUCGGAGUUUAGGCGGGGGAAUGCAUAGCACGACGGGUUGGGAUCAGAGAAGUGCUAGCAUGAGAAGGCAAGAGUUCGUUACAAUAUUCAUCAUAGAUGAUUCUCUCUUCUCUUCCUAUACAUAAGAGUAGUCUAAGGUAGGCAGCCGGUACCCGCCGUUGUCCACUCUUCUCCGCUCACGUGCUUGCUCGGCUCCCUUGACAAUGCACCUUCCUUGGAAUUUCUUUUAUGUAAUUGCCCGUGAUGUGUAGGAAAUGGAGAAGACAAAACCAUUUGUGAAGAGCGCACGGAUCAAUGAAUGAUGACAUGGGCAAGUGCGAUGAAGACUGAUGUUGACAACUGUUCUCAGAGUAAGGCCUUUGGCUUUAAAGCCAAGCCCUAAGUAAGCAACAAGCAAAUCUAACACACAAGCUGCAGGACGAAUCUAGAAAAAUAUUCAGAAAGGGCUUUUUCUACCUUAAGAUAGCUUUAGGCCAUUUUUAAAAUACAUCAAUACCAAAAAAAAUUAUAGAAGGGGCUAAGAGAGGGUUCUAUAGGUUCGACGACCAUAGGUGGGCUAGAGCCCCGGCAGCCCCACCGCUAGCUCCGUCACUACCUGCACAAUAGACUAGUCUCUUGUUUUCUUGUAGAACAUAUUUUUUAAUUGUAUACGGGUCCAACUUAUCUUCACCUUUUUCCAAUCUCUCGUACUUUCCUCCAUCGUCUUUGGCCCUGUUUGGUUCCUCUCGCUAAAUUUUUAGGUAGCUAAAAUUAUUUUAGCUAUUCUUGAGUAAUUAGUAGGACUAAAUUAUUUUUGCUCUUUUUUAGUUAGUGUGUUUGGAACUUUAGCUACUAAAAUAAUUAAAGUUUAACUAGCUAACAUUUAGCGAGAGAAUCAAACAUGCCAGCAUCUGAGGGGAAGAGCUGGACUCGCGACAAGACAAGAAGCAGAGGCGCUCGAAUGAGCCCUCGCCUCCUGCGUAGAGCUGGAGGGCACAUGGCCUCCUUUUUACUUCUACAGAGCAUGAACCAUGGUAGACACUACAUAUAACCUUGCAAGGGAUUUGAGAAGGAUUAAGUCCAUAUUUGGCCCCUCAACUAUCGGCCGAGUUUAAUUUUAGCCGCCAACUCUGAAACCGUCUAGACCUGGCCCCCCAUCUUUCACACUGGUCCAACUUUAGUCCCUGAGUCCGGUUUUGGGCAACGGACCCUGGUUUUGCUUGCCACGGUGGCAACAUUGAACACGGUGGACGCCAUGUAGGCUUGCAGCAUUGCUUAAACAGGCCGGCCCAUUCAGCCCAUGUCUCCAGCGACCGAAACCCUAACCCCAUCCCCCUUCCUCCGCCCGCCGUUUGUCUGCGUCGCCGUCGCCGUCGCCGUCGCCGCGGGCGAUUCCCCCACUGAGGUCUCCCCUGCAUCGGCCUUCGGUACCGAAUGCAUUGAAACAACAGGUAUGUAUCAUGGUCUGUAUCAUGAGCUUGGUAGAUUAGUGGAUAGCCUAGAUUAGUCCAUGGUAUGUAUCAUGAGCUUGUGAUUUUCGGUUGUAGGAAUGGAUCCUUUGGAAUUUCUUGCUGUUAGAUUUCACUUCGAUGGUCAGUUUUACAAUGAUGGGAGGAGGUUGCAUUACAUUGGGGGUAAAGAGGAGUUGUCAUUUGUGGAGAUUGACAAGAUGUCAUUGCCCGAAAUACAGGGCCAUCUUAAAGACCAUUACAAUUGUAGUGACCCUGUUACACUGCACUGGUUGUUUCCUGGGAAAAUGUUAUCAAAUGGGCUCAGAGUGUUGAUGGAUGACAAGGCAUGCAUGGAUAUGUGUCAGGCUAUUACUGAUGGAGGGGCUGCUGAUAUAUUUGUUGAGCGUGUUUUGGAAGAUGAUGCUGAGCAAUCUGUCAACUUAGAAAAACUUUCUGCGUAUAUUUCUUCUCCUGAGAAGAUUGAGAAAGAAGUAGCUCAAUAUAGUAAGUACAUUGAUUGGAUUAGGGACAGUGAUGAUGGUAAUGAGGUUGUCAAGGCAAAAAGUCAUUGAUGCAAGAAGUGUCAGUUAAUGACUCAGCUCCAGUGGAGGAAGGGUACAGUUCACAUAGUGAUGAUAGUGACCAGUCUUACUUGCCUGGUGAUGAUGAGAGUAGUGAAGAUGAUGAAGAGGCAGGCCAAAUCAGAGCAGAUUUGAAAGAGCUAAAGAAGAAAUUGAGUGACAGAGGAAUGGUGGUGGUAGAUGAUGAAGGGCAUGAAGUCAAUGUGGAGAACUUGAUGCCAUCCAAUCCAUUUGCUGAGGGGGUUGGAGUUGAGUCUGAUUCAACAGAAGUGGACACAGAUGAAGAUGCAGAUUCAUAUGAUGAAGAGGAGGGUGAGGUGAUCAGGAAGAAGAGGGAAUUUCCCAGGUUUGAUGGUAGUGCUGAUGUGCCAACUUUCAGUCUUGGCAUGUCAUUUCCUGACAAAGCUACAUUCAGGGAGGCUGUCAUCAAAUAUGGUUUGGCAGCAAGGAAAGUGUUAAAGUUUGUUAAGAAUGAGGCUGCGAGGUGCAGGGUUGUUUGUACUUGGCCUAAGUGUCCAUUUGUCUUGCUCCUAUCCAAGACAUCUAGGGCUGAGAGCUCACAGUUAGCUACAUGCAUAGACAACCACACUUGUCCACCUAGGAGGGACAACUCUCUAGUUACUUCUAAGAAAAUUGCAGACAAGUAUGAGAGGAUGAUUAAAGCAAACCCACAAUGGUCUAUUCAGAGCAUUAGAGAAACAGUCCAAGAAGAAAUGUUUGCUGAUGUCAGUGUUUCAAAGAUCAAGAGAGCUAAGUCAAUUGUCAUGCAGAGGAUGUAUGAUGCCACCAAGGGUGAAUAUGCAAUGGUGUUUGAUUACCAGCUAGAGCUGCUUAGGAGCAAUCCAGGAAGCACUGUGGUAGUUAAGUUAGAUACUGAAGAGGCAGAGCCUACAUUUAUGAGGUUUUAUGUCUGCUUCGAUGCUUGCAAGAAGGGGUUCCUUGCUGGAUGCAGGAAGGUUAUUGGAUUUGAUGGAUGCUUUUUCAAGGGCCUGACCAAUGGAGAACUGUUAUGUGCUCUAGGAAGAGAUGCCAACAAUCAAAUGUACCUAAUUGCAUGGGCCGUGGUAGAGAGAGACUAAAGACUCCUGGGACUUUUUUCUAGCUUUACUCAGUGCAGAUCUGAAGUUUGGAGAUGGAACUGGUUGGGUUUUCAUUUCUGAUCAGCAAAAAGGUCUUAUCAAUGCUGUCAACAAGUGGGCUCCUAGAGUAGAGCAUAGGAUGUGUGCUAGGCAUAUCUAUGCCAAUUGGAGGAAAAAAUUCACCAAUAAGAAGUAUCAGAAGCUGUUUUGGAGGUGUGCCAAGUCCUCAUCUAUGAAUCUCUUCAACUACAACUUGAACAAGCUCAGGGCUGAGACACCUAAAGGUGCUGAUGCAAUUAUGCAGAUAGAUCCUAAGCAUUGGAGUAGGGCCUGGUUCAAACUAGGUUCUUGCUGUGACUCAGUGGAUAAUAACAUGUGUGAGUGCUUCAACCACUGGAUUUUGAAAGCAAGAUUCUUGCCAAUAAUCAGCAUGCUUGAAGGCAUAAGGCGCCAGGUAAUGGUCAGGAUACAUGAAAAUAGGACCAAGGCUGAAAGGUGGACUGGUCCAAUCUGUCCAAACACCUACAAGAAGUUAAUGACUUACAUUACAGCUAGUGGUUUCUGUCAUGCAAUUAGUAAUGGCCAAAACUGUUUUGAAGUAACAUACUGGGAUCAUAGGUUUUCUGUGAACUUGGAGGAAAAGACAUGUUCUUGUAGGUUCUGGCAGUUAUCUGGUCUGCCAUGCCCUCAUGCAAUUUCUUGCAUCUAUGUAGCAUCCAAGGCUGUGGAGGAUUAUGUAGCCAAGUGUUAUUUUUUUGAGGAAUACAAUAAGACAUAUGCCCACUGUCUUCAACCUGUUGAAGGUAGGGAAUUCUGGCCAGUAUCAGACAGGGCUAAGCCUUUGCCACCAAAGUAUGUUAGAAUGCCAGGAAGGCCAAAGAAGGAGAGGAAAAGGCAGGAUGGGGAGAAAAAAAGCCAAGUCGUGGUAAGCUAUCCAAACAUGGUACAGUUGUGAGGUGCAGAGUUUGCAAAGGGAUUGGACACAACCGGACAACUUGCAGCAGGAAGACAGGAAGUGGAGGUAGUGGCACCGGAGCUAAUGUCAGUGGUGGAGGCCAAGUACCUAGUGGCAGUGCUAGGGGAUCUCAUCAUGCAAGAGGAGGUAGUACCAGUGGAACUAGAGGAAAUGACUCUCAUUCAACUAGAGCAAGGACUGGUAAUUCCAAGAGGAAGGCAACACCUUCUUCUACAUCAGUGUCCACCAAAAGGCAUUGCUCCCAGUUGUCUGUUGAUUGCAAUGUAAGUAAAGUAAGUACAAUUUUGUACGAAGAUACUAUAGUUCCAAAUGGGUAACAAUCUAUUUGUACUCUGCAGACUGUGAACAAUUCCAUGUCUUCAUCAGCUAAGAUGACCACAAGACUCAAGCAAGGAGGUCAAGCUAAGGUCACUUUAGAGGCCACUGCACCUGGUAUGCCUGGAAGGCAUUCAAAAGCAACUGUGCAACUUUCUGGGCCAUCGAGCUCAAAGGUUGAGGUCUCAGCUAUAGGACCACACAGGAAAAAAAGUGCAAGGACAACACCAAGAGGAUCAGGCACAACACCAACUUUACUGCUGCAAGGAGCACUACCUUGAAGAAUAAACCAUUUCUGUCAUUGUCAUGUCACAAGGAAACUAUGUUUUCUUUUAGAACAAUUUGUCAUUUGUGUGGUGAACCAUGAGAUGUUGUGAACCAUGUCAUGUUGUGCUAAAACAAUUUGUCAUUUGUUUGGUGAACCAUGUGAUGCUGUGAACCAUGUCAUGUUGUGAUAAAACAAUUUGGCAUUCGUGUGGUCAUUCUAAUGUCUAUGAAUUUAGUCAUCAGCAUUGCAAGUACAGAUUGAACUGCCACAAACUAGGAUAAUUCUCAUAGCCGAAUAAGACAUACACAGUACACAAAUGCCAAAUAAGUCUUACAUUCAACGGCCACACACAGAAACUACAUACUUAAUACAUCCUACAUACUAAUUACUAAGCUUCCAAAAAGCAGAAACUAAUCCAACGCACACAACAAGAGCAAACAACAGGAACUUCCUCUCCUUCUGCAGCUUCACAAUCCUGGAUUCCAGCUGAGCCCUUGCAUCCAAAACACCCACCAUCUGACCUUGCAUAGUGGCGACAUCCCUACUGGCAUCAACAAACAUUUGUCUCCUAUCUUCAUUGAACUUGAUAGCGGCUUCCAACUGUCCCUGCAACCUUUGAUUCUCCCUCCCAGCAGCUUCCAACUGACCCUGCAGCCUCUGAUUCUCCAUGGUAGCAGCAUCCAAAGCUCUUGCAUGAUGAGUUCGGGCCUCUUCAAGUCCCCAUUCGGCUGCAAGAGUUUCACGCUUCCAAUACUUCACUGCAUCGCGCAAAUCAAGCAACAACUGCUUCAUGAACCCCAUGGUUGGCUCAUCCACCCAGCGGUAAAAAUCACAACCACCCUCCUACGCAGAAAAACGAAAUCUGAGAUCCAUUGACUCAAGGGGUCCUACAGCAUGUGAAUCGAAGACAAAUAUGCAAGACAAAUUGACCUAAAGUUUGAAGGAAAUCCAAGUUUGAACUUACUCGAGCACGCGCACACUUCUGAAACCUCAUCCCUGGGUUCAAAUCACUCCAAGAGAUGAACUGAGCGGCUUUGACACCACAUUUACAGUUCACUGCAGGGGUGUACUCCAGAGGAGCUUCACGGUAUGGGAUGGGGGACGCGGAUUGGAGGUUCCGGCGCCAAUACUCUGCCGCUUGGCCUGCACUGCGGCUGGAAGAGCUUGAGCUCGCCAUUUGAGUCGGGGGAGCUCUCCACAACAGAUCUGGAGGGCCUCUCGUCGGCGGCGGCGGAGGAGGAGGAAGACAGAAUGGUGGGGGUGAGAGACGGGCUGAAUGGGCCAGCCUGUUUAAGCAAUGCUGCAAGCCUACGUGGCGUCCACCGUGUUCAAUGUUGCCACCGUGGCAAGCAAAACCAGGGUCCGCUGCCCAAAACCGGACUCAGGGACUAAAGUUGGACCAGUGUGAAAGAUGAGAGACCAAGACUAGACGGUUUCAGAGUUGGCGGCUAAAAUUAAACUCGGUCGAUAGUUGAGGGGCCAAAUAUGGACUUAAUCCAUUUGAGAAAUAAGGGAAUAAUAUGUAGAGUACUGCCACGUUACCAGAGAUAAGACCCAGAUUAAGGGGGUGUUGGAGACUGCUCUUCUCUACGUUUUCUAGCUCUGCUCCACGGUUUUUAGCCAAACGAUUUCAGCUCCACGCACUCAAUUCGAGAAAAAAGGAUGGAGUUGUGAGAGCACCUAAAGAGGUACUCCACAAACCUCAGUUUUUUAUGGAGCUGAUCCACAGUGAAAUUUGUGGAGCAGAGUUUGUGGAGCAGUCCCAAACACCCUCUAAUACCUUUUCUGAUAGAUGAAACCCCUGAUGAGAUUGGUAUUAAUUUGUGAGUGUAGUUGUCAGUGCCUCAAUGGUCUGACAUAACUGUAAUUCAUUUGUCUACCAAUAGUUUCACACUAGGAUGUUCUUCAUUAAGUGUUGGGCUUUCUUUCUAACAGCUUACUGCUCUAUUAUUAUCUUCUACAAGAUUAUACGCUGACUUCUUCCCAUACCUGUGGAUGGGAACAUAACUUGUUUUGCAGGUUAUGUGAGGAAAAUUACAUUUCGUGAUGACAUUCAAAAGAUAGACGACCUAGACAGUGGCAAACUACCAUAGUUUGAAAGGUUUGAAGUCAUUCGGCUGCUGUAGUUUUGUAACUGCUGCCGAAUAGCUUGUGCUCACAACCUACAAAUUGACCAAUGAUUCUUUCCAGUGCAUAGUCUACUGUUCAGGAUGAUACAUGGAGGGGUCGUUCUUUUAAGUAUUGUAAACUUUGCGUUAAAAAAAAAACAUUGUAAAC